GUGAAGCCCCGCCUCCUCCACCAACUCCACCCACAGGAAGCAGCACCCCGACUCAGAGAAUCACGGGACUCAAACCAUUUCAGGACCCCGAGGUGCAGAAACACGGCACAUCCUGAGAAGGAUGCUGGAGCAGGAGGAGGCAGAGCUACAGAACCUUCUGGAGGAACAGUCUCGAAACCCCUCGCCUUCAUUAGAGGAGCGAAUAGAAAGUGCCAAACGAAGAGCCAGUCAAGUGCGAAGAUCCAGCAGGAUGUGGUGAGAUUUGUGCUUAACAUGUUCUUUAAAAACAUACUCGUGCUCAGGCCAUCCAAGAUGUAGAUGAGUAGCAUUGCAUCACUUGCUCAGCUGUGGAUCCUCUGCAGUGAAUGGGUGCCGUCAGAAUAAGAGUCCAAUGGGGUGUAAUGGUAUAUAUUCGCACCAAAAAUUUUCAUUAUGGGUCUUUCGGAUUGGUACGCAUGUGUACCGAACAAAUUAUUCAAUUUUUCAGGAAAUUCAGACAAUAAAUGCCUCUUGACCAGUGUAUGGUGUAACUAGUUACUGUAAUUUAAUUACUUUUCUCUUGAAAAAGUAAAGUAAGGGACUGCUCUUAUUUUUUCUGUAAUUUACAGUUACUUCUUAUGUAAUUGAGCAAUAUGGUUUGACUGUGAAAAUUAACUCAAAAUGCAUGUUUUUAUGUAUCUACUUAAAUACUUUAGUAUUGGUAACACUUUAGGGUCCAAUUCUCACUAUUAACUAGUUGGUUAUUAGCAUAAAUAUUACUGGGGUAUUAGCUGUUUAUUAUUACUUAAAAAGCACAUAUUGAUCUCUUAUUCUGCAAGACCUUAUUCUAAAUCCUUAAUUCUACCCAACUCUUAAACUUAGCAACUACUUUACUAAGUAUUAAUAAGUAUUAAUAAGCAGUAAUCAGGAGUAUAUUGAGUCAUAGUCAGGUAUAGUUAGUUAAUAGUGAGAAUUGGACCCCAGUCUAAAUCAAGUCAUCAGUGUCCCCAGCUCGUUAGUUCACCAGAGAAAUAAAGUAUGGAGAAGAGCAUUUUGCCAAAUAUUAGACUAUAGGCCUAUAGCUACUCAUUAUAUUUGACUUUACCUGUUAGUUAUGUCUUAAUCAUUUAAUGUAUAUUUAAAUAAAUCUUUUUCAAACAAGUUAUGAGAGCCACUGUGUAAAUGAUUAUAUUUCAACAACAAAUAGAAAUUGUAGAAUUUAGAAGUUAAUUUAAAAACUUCAUUGAGUGCAAUUUUGAUGUCAGCAUACAUUUUUUUUCUUUCAUCUGAGUGUUGAUUAUUAUAGUUAAAAAUAAAUAGUAAUUAAAUUUAAGUUUGGGCUCUGUUGUUAAUUGUAACCUUAUGUAGUAGGCAUGAUGUAAAAGGGCUCCCUAUAUAUAGCAGAACUAGGUAGAUAUAUAUACACACACACACACACACACACACACACACACACACACACAUAUAUAUAUAUAUAUAUAAUAUAUCAUGAGGUAGAUUUAAAUAAUUUUUUAAUUAUAAUUGAAUAUAUUUAAAGAAACAUCAAUUUAUUUAGUAAAACAUUAAUUAAAAAAAAAAAAAAGUUUAGUUUUCUGUUUUUCUUGUUUUUUCUGCUGCUAGAUGCUUUUAACGUCAAACCGUUAUUUCUUGCCAAAAUACGUCCAUAAUAAUGCUUCCAUGAUGGCAAUAAUUAGUUGGGAUUGGGAGCAAAAAAUAAUGAAAGAAAAAGACCACCAACAAACUACUGUUGGGGUUUAAGGACUGGAUUUAAAGGUACAAAUAGUUCCUUUCUGCUGCCUUUUUGAGCUUUUUUGGUGUAAUAUUCAGCGUCAGGAUUAGCCUAAUCAGGGUUUCUUAGUUGAUUGGUCGAUUAGUUGUUUCCUAAAACACACAGUUUUGCACAUUUUCAGUCCCUGCUCUGUUUCAGGACGGCACUCGAUCAGAAGCUGUCGCUAACUAUCUCACGGCUGGAGAAGGUCGGUAUUCGUUAAUAAAACCGUGUGUCGAAGACCAAUCUUAACAUGAUUCAUUAGCAUUAAUGGCAUUGUGUUGUUGUGAUUUUCCUGUUUUCGCAGGUCGGUUAUCGAUGGACUCCAGUGAAGGAGACGUCGAGGUGAGUUUCAUUCACUUUACAGCUUUUAGAAGCGACUCCCAUCAAAAUCAUAUGUGUGUGAAUAGAAGUGAAGAGUAAGGGUCAUUGCACACCGAGUCUGAUAUUUUCACACUUUGAACAACCCUCUACAUUGCGAGUAAAUCACUCACAUAUGCGACUAAAUCUUCACUCUGGGCGACUAAAUGAUGUCUAAUAUUAGACUCUGGUUAAUAAAUUCUCAGAUUUAAAUCGCCAGUGUGCGAGUUGGAGGCUAAGUAUUAGUAAGUUUAGUUUGUUGCUAAGGUCUGAUCUUAGACCAGUUUCUACUGUGUCCCUCAGGGCUCGAUUUUAGGACCUUUACUUUUUAGUCUUUAUUUCCGACUUCAGCAUAGUAAUGAUACUUGAUACCAAGAGAAGUUGGAAGUUUAGCACAGAUAUAUUUUCACUCGCCGAUCUCUGACUGAGCGCUUCAGAGAUUCUCUCUCCGUCAAGCAAUCUGUGCUAUUUUUCAGUUCAUCUAAACUCUAGUGUGAAGCGCACGACCUGCUGUCGCUUUGUUUUUUCUCACACGCAGAGAAAUAGAGAGAAUUGACGCACUACAUGUAAACAAUAGUCAUUGUUGUAUUUUCCUGUCAAAAUAACGGUGUUCGNUUCUUCAGCUUUUAAGAUCUGCUGGGUUUUCUGAAAGUGGGAGGGAUUAACGUGCAAACGGCAAUCUCAUUGGCUGGUGCUCACCUAAUAUAGCAGAUCAGUUCGAGCGAACGCACACAACCUGAUUAAUAUUCAUGAAUCCACCAGUUUAUUAAACCUUAGUGCGUUUUAUAUUGUUCUUAGUAGAAUUCGUAUUAGCCUGUUAUUAUUAGUAUUAUUGUUAGUUUUUCCCCCUUUUUUUUUUUUUUUUUACAGAAACACUGAAUGACCAAAAAAAGCACCAGCACCAGUCCUAAGUUCAGUUAAAACGACUAAUA
rnacentral:lncRNA from 12 species